GACGAACGCUGGCGGCGUGCUUAAUACAUGCAAGUCAACUUGACUUUAGAUAGCAAUAUCGAAAAGUAGGGUGGCGCACGGGUGCGUAACGCGUAGGUAAUCUGCCCUGAGGUCUGACAUAACCCGUCGAAAGGCGGGCUAACAUCAGAUGAUAUAUAAUCACGACAUCGUGGAAAUAUCAAAUCUUCGGAGCCUUGGGAUGAGCCUGCGUCUGAUUAGGUAGUUGGCGGAGUAAUAGCCCACCAAGCCUACGAUCAGUAGCUGGUCUGAGAGGAUGAUCAGCCACACUGGAACUGAGACACGGUCCAGACUCCUACGGGAGGCAGCAGUAAGGAUAUUGCUCAAUGGGGGAAACCCUGAAGCAGCAACGCCGCGUGAAGGAUGAAAUAC
rnacentral:rRNA from 1 species